rnacentral:rRNA from 1 species
GAUGAACGCUGACAGAAUGCUUAACACAUGCAAGUCGAUGGGGUAGUGGUGCUUGCACCAUGGUAACCAUGGCGGACGGGUGAGUAACGCGUAAGGGACUUACCUGCAGGACUGGGAUAACAGGGGGAAACUCCUGACAAGACCGGAUAAUGUCAUGGAGCUGCAUGGCUUUAUGAUGAAAGGAGACGCCUGCGGAGAGCCUUGCGUCCUAUUAGCUAGUUGGUGAGGUAAUGGCUCACCAAGGCGAAGAUAGGUAGCCGGCCUGAGAGGGUGGACGGCCACAAGGGGACUGAGAUACGGCCCUUACUCCUACGGGAGGCAGCAGUGGGGAAUAUUGGACAAUGGGGGCAACCCUGAUCCAGCAAUUCUGUGUGCACGAAGAAGGUUUUCGGAUUGUAAAGUGCUUUCAGCAGGGAAGAAGGAAGUGACGGUACCUGCAGAAGAAGCGACGGCUAAAUACGUGCCAGCAGCCGCGGUAAUACGUAUGUCGCGAGCGUUAUCCGGAAUUAUUGGGCAUAAAGGGCAUCUAGGCGGCCUGACAAGUCAGGGGUGAAAACCUGCGGCUCAACCGCAGGCCUGCCUUUGAAACUGUGAGGCUGGAGUACCGGAGAGGUGGACGGAACUGCACGAGUAGAGGUGAAAUUCGUAGAUAUGUGCAGGAAUGCCGAUGAUGAAGAUAGUUCACUGGACGGUAACUGACGCUGAAGUGCGAAAGCCGGGGGAGCGAACAGG